UACGUAGGGUGCGAGCGUUAAUCGGAAUUACUGGGCGUAAAGCGUGCGCAGGCGGUUUGGUAGGUCCGCUGUGAAAACUCGAGGCUCAACCUCGAGACGCCGGUGGAAACCAUCAGACUAGAGUCCGGAAGAGGAGAGUGGAAUUCCUGGUGUAGCGGUGAAAUGCGCAGAUAUCAGGAAGAACACCCGUGGCUAAGGCGGCUCUCUAGUACGGUACUGACGCUGAGACGCGAAAGCGUGGGGAGCGAACAGG
rnacentral:rRNA from 1 species